rnacentral:rRNA from 1 species
AGAGUUUGAUCCUGGCUCAGAGUGAACGUUGGCGGCGUGCUUAACACAUGCAAGUCGAACGAGAACGGCUCUAGCUUGCUAGAGUGUCAGCUAAGUGGCGCACGGGUGAGUAAUAUAUAGUUAACCUGCCCCAAAGAAGAGAAUAAUUGCUGGAAACGGCUUGUAAUGCUCUAUAUGCCUCUAUUACAUAAGUAAGCGAGGGAAACAUUUAUGGCUUUGGGAUGGGACUGUACGGUAUCAGUUAGUUGGUGAGGUAAUGGCUCACCAAGACAAUGACGCCUAACUGGUUUGAGAGGAUGAUCAGUCACACUGGAACUGAGACACGGUCCAGACUCCUACGGGAGGCAGCAGUGGGGAAUAUUGCACAAUGGACGAAAGUCUGAUGCAGCAACGCCGCGUGGAGGAUGACACAUUUCGGAGCGUAAACUCCUUUUAUAUGAGAAGAUAAUGACGGUAUCAUAUGAAUAAGCACCGGCUAACUCCGUGCCAGCAGCCGCGGUAAUACGGGGGGUGCAAACGUUACUCGGAAUCACUGGGCGUAAAGCGCAUGUAGGCGGUCUUGUAAGUUGGAAGUGAAAUCCUAUAGCUUAACUAUAGAACUGCUUCCAAAACUACUCGACUAGAAUAUGGGAGAGGUAGAUGGAAUUUCUGGUGUAGGGGUAAAAUCCGUAGAGAUCAGAAGGAAUACCAAUAGCGAAGGCGAUCUACUGGAACAUUAUUGACGCUCAGAUGCGAAAGCGUGGGGAGCAAACAGGAUUAGAUACCCUGGUAGUCCACGCCCUAAACGAUGUACACUAGUUAUUGGCAUAAGUCAGUAAUACAGCUAACGCAUUAAGUGUACCGCCUGGGGAGUACGGUCGCAAGAUUAAAACUCAAAGGAAUAGACGGGGACCCGCACAAGCGGUGGAGCAUGUGGUUUAAUUCGAAGAUACGCGAAGAACCUUACCCGGACUUGACAUAGUAAGAAUAUUUAAGAGAUUAGAUAGUGCUGCUUGCAGAGCUUAUAUACAGGUGCUGCACGGCUGUCGUCAGCUCGUGUCGUGAGAUGUUGGGUUAAGUCCCGCAACGAGCGCAACCCUCGUUCUUAGUUGCUAACAGUUAGGCUGAGAACUUUAAGAAUACUGCCUGGGCAACCAGGAGGAAGGUGAGGACGACGUCAAGUCAUCAUGGCCCUUAUGUCCGGGGCUACACACGUGCUACAAUGGGAUGUACAAUGAGUCGCAAUACCGUGAGGUGGAGCUAAUCUCAAAAACAUCUCCCAGUUCGGAUAGCACUCUGCAACUCGAGUGCUUGAAGUUGGAAUCGCUAGUAAUCGUGAAUCAGAAUGUCACGGUGAAUACGUUCCCGGGUCUUGUACUCACCGCCCGUCACACCAUGGGAGUUGAUUUCACCCGAAGCCGGAAUACUAAAUUAGUUACCGACCACGGUGGGCUCAGCGACUGGGGUGAAGUCGUAACAAGGUAGCCG